CUGGGUGGGUUUGUCCCCCCUUGCUGUGGUUCUACGUAUUUACACACACACACUGCCAUAAAGUCUCAUGGAAUGUUUGCCGCGUUUAACGCAAUACAAUACAACUUUCAGCAACGGAUCUCUUGGCUCUCGCAUCGAUGAAGAACGCAGCGAAAUGCGAUAAGUAAUGUGAAUUGCAGAAUUCAGUGAAUCAUCGAAUCUUUGAACGCACCUUGCGCCCUUUGGCUAUUCUGAAGGGCAUGCCUGUUUGAGUAUCAUGAACACCUCAACUCCUCAUGGUUUGCCAUGAUGAGCUUGGACUUUGGGGGUCUUGCUGGCCUAUGGUUGGCUCCUCUCAAAUGGAUCAGCUUGCCAGUGUUUGGUGGCAUCACAGGUGUGAUAAAUAUCUACGCUUGUGGUUUCCACCAUAUAGCCUUCAGCGAUGAAGGCUCUCUGGAGCUCACAAAUGUCCCUCCUCAGCGAGGACAGCUUUUGAACAUUUGAUCUCAAAUCAGGUAGGAUUACCCGCUGAACUUAAGCAUAUCAAUAAGCGGAGGAAAAGAAACUAACAAGGAUUCCCCUAGUAACUGCGAGUGAAGCGGGAAGAGCUCAAAUUUAAAAUCUGGCGUGCCUUUGGCCGUCCGAGUUGUAGUCUGGAGAAGCGUUUUCCGUGUUGGACCGUGUAUAAGUCUCUUGGAACAGGGCGUCAUAGAGGGUGAGAAUCCCGUCUUUGACACGGACUACCAAUGCUUUGUGAUGCGCUCUCAAAGAGUCGAGUUGUUUGGGAAUGCAGCUCAAAAUGGGUGGUAAAUUCCAUCUAAAGCUAAAUACAGGCGAGAGACCGAUAGCGAACAAGUACCGUGAGGGAAAGAUGAAAAGCACUUUGGAAAGAGAGUUAAAC
rnacentral:rRNA from 1 species